GAUUUGCGUCCCUAUUUUUCACUGCCAAAGGUUAUGGACGGUCUUUUUAGUCUCGCAAAGAUGCUAUUUGAUGUCAUUAUCGAACCAGCCGACGGCUUGGCACCGGUUUGGAACCCUGAUGUCCGAUUUUAUUGCGUUAAGGAUUCUUCAGGAAACCCAGUUGCCUACUUCUACUUUGAUCCAUAUACCAGGCCUUCUGAAAAACGUGGUGGGGCAUGGAUGGACGAGGUGUUUGGUCGUAGUCGUGUGCUUGCCCAUGAUGGUGCUCCUGUUAGGUUACCUGUCGCACAUAUGGUGUGCAAUCAAAGUCCACCUGUGGGUGGCAAACCUAGUUUAAUGACCUUCCGCGAGGUUGAGACUGUGUUCCAUGAAUUUGGCCAUGCACUUCAGCAUAUGCUUACCAAACAAGAGGAAGGGCUAGUUGCUGGAAUUCGAAUGGUAGAAUGGGAUGCAGUUGAAUUACCUUCUCAGUUCAUGGAAAAU
rnacentral:misc_RNA from 1 species